rnacentral:rRNA from 1 species
AUUGAACGCUGGCGGCAGGCUUAACACAUGCAAGUCGAGCGGAGAUGAGGUGCUUGCACCUUAUCUUAGCGGCGGACGGGUGAGUAAUGCUUAGGAAUCUGCCUAUUAGUGGGGGACAACAUUCCGAAAGGAGUGCUAAUACCGCAUACGUCCUACGGGAGAAAGCAGGGGAUCUUCGGACCUUGCGCUAAUAGAUGAGCCUAAGUCGGAUUAGCUAGUUGGUGGGGUAAAGGCCUACCAAGGCGACGAUCUGUAGCGGGUCUGAGAGGAUGAUCCGCCACACUGGGACUGAGACACCGCCCAGCCUCCUACGGGAGGCAGCAGUGGGGAAUAUUGGACAAUGGGGGGAACCCUGAUCCAGCCAUGCCGCGUGUGUGAAGAAGGCCUUAUGGUUGUAAAGCACUUUAAGCGAGGAGGAGGCUACUGAGACUAAUACUCUUGGAUAGUGGACGUUACUCGCAGAAUAAGCACCGGCUAACUCUGUGCCAGCCGCCGCCGUAAGAC